rnacentral:rRNA from 1 species
AAUAUUAAAUAACUUGGCAAAAUUUAUAUUCACCUGUUUAUCAAAAACAUGUCUUUUUGAAUAAUUAUUUAAAGUCUCCCCUGCUCCAUGAAAUUUUAAAUAGCUGCAGUAUAUUGACUGUACAAAGGUAGCAUAAUCAUUUGUCUUUUAAUUAAGGGCUGGAAUGAAAGGGGGAAUGAAAUAUAAGCUGUUUCAAUAUUAAAAAAUUAAUUUAAAUUUUAAGUAAAAAUGCUUAAAUUUUUUUAAGGGACGAUAAGACCCUAUAGAAUUUUAUAUUUAUAUAAAAUUAAUAAUUUUAUAAUAUAUAUAUAUAUAUAUAAUUAUUUAUAUUAAAUAUUUUAUUGGGGUGAUAUUUAAAUUUAAAAAACUUUAAAAAUUACAAUCAUAAAUUUAUGUAAAAUAAAUGAAAUUUUUUUAAAAAUUAUUAGAAAAAUUACCUUAGGGAUAACAGCAUUAUAUCUUUAGGAAGAUCAUAUUUAUAAAGAUGUUUGUGACCUCGAUGUUGAAUUAAGAUAAAUUUUAAAUGCAGAAAUUUAAAAAUUAAGUCUGUUCGACUUAUAGAAUCUUACAUGAUUUGAGUUCAGAUCGGUGUAAACCAGAUCGGUUUCUAUCUUUAAAUAAUUAAUAUAUUUUUGUACGAAAGGACUAAGUAU